rnacentral:rRNA from 1 species
GACGAACGCUGGCGGCGUGCUUAACACAUGCAAGUCGAACGGGCCCGCUCUCUUUUUUGGGGGUGGGUUGAGUGGCGAACGGGUGAGUAUCACGUGAGUAACCUGCCCCCUGCUCCUGGAUAACUGCUUGAAAGGGCGGCUAAUACGGGGUGUGCCGGCUGGUCCGCAUGGGCCUGGUCGGGAUAGAUUCAUCAUCGGGUGUUUCGGUGGGGGAUGGGCUCGCGGCCUAUCAGCUUGUUGGUGGGGUGAUGGCCCACCAAGGCGGUGACGGGUAGCCGGCCUGAGAGGGUGCGCGGCCUCGCUGGGACUGGGCCACGGCCCAGACUCCUGCGGGCGGCAGCAGUGGGGGGUAUUACAAGGUGGGCGGAAGCCUGAUGCGGCGACGUCGCGUGAGGGAUGGGGGCCUUCGGGUUGUGAACCUCUUUCUCCGGUGGUGAAGGCCCUGUCCGUUGCGGCGGGGUUGACGGUAGCCGGGUAUGAAGCGCCGGCUAACUACGUG